UUGGAACUCAAGAAAAGGAGUCUUUCUGACUUCAGGCCUGGCACUCUAUCUACUGCACCACCUAGCUGCAAAAUCUGGACUUCAGAUACCAGUCCUGUGACAGCAGGGGAUAUGUACCACUAUACUAAUGAGGACAGCGACGUCAGGUCAUAGGGCAGGGAUUUGUCCUUUGGGGUCACCUGGACAGCUGAUUUUUUCUGACUUUCAUGGAACUUUGCCCAUGCAGUUAGAGCAGCUUUACUGGGCAAGUGAAGUUGACCAGGAGGUUUUCACAUUUUCAGUCUCCUAAGAAUCCUGGGAUUGUAGAAAAUGCCUUUCCCUGAAGUGGGUGUGGUGAUUGCUCCUGGUUUCCCAUUAGGGAUACCUGCCAGAAGGAAAUGUCCUUGCCCAAGAGUUCAGGCGGGGAAUGGUUUCUGGAUCUAUAAGAGGCCUGGCCAGCGGUGAAUAAAGAAGUGUCCAGCCGGCCUGGUAAGCAAAAGCGCCUCACCAUUGCCCACUUAUCCUGCAGGUUUUCUUUGUGAGGGCAGGGAUGAGGAAGGGUUUUACAAUUCCACAAUCAAUCUCAGUGGGCAAAGGCAAGAAUGUUCCCUGUCCUUUCAGAAGGGAAAAUAGAACCUGAGCUCUUCUCUGAAGGACUAGAGGGAGAUUGGGGAAUUGGGGUUCAAUAAGCGAGGGCAAAGCAGCUUUUCUCUGCCAAAGGACGGGGAAUUGGCAUGAGCAAGGGCAGGACUUCUUUCUUUGACUGUCCCAAGAGGGGCUCGGAGCUGGGGUAGUUGGACUGUGUAUGUCGUCUAUAUAACUGUCUCCUGAACCAUCAGCUCAGGGACAAGGGAGAUUAAUUCUGUUUUCUAAAAUCCAAGAGACAGAGUUACUUCUUGGCUGGAGGCUACUUCCCAAGGCAGAAAGAGGAGGCUCAGGUCCCGCCUCAGAUCCAUUAGUGAGGUUGCUUAACCCGUGGCUUUUCUCAAAGACUGAGUUAUAGAGAAGGGGGUGACUGGCAGGGCUCGAGGGAGCUUCUGCACGUAGGCUUUCCCUAGGGAACCCCUGAAGUCCUGGCCUCCUUUCCUCCUCUCGAUUCUGAGGAUGUUCUUCGAGGAGACCCAAGGUUAUUGUUGGGGAGGAAUAGAGGAUGGGAAGAUUCAGGAGGAAGAAGGAGGAUGGUACCCUGCCACAUCUAAGAUUCAGUGGAGGGACUGCUGGAAGGGAGAGGCGCGCGUGCAUGCACAUGCACACACGUACACGCACACACAUGCACGCAUGUACACACGCAUGCACGCACAUAUACACACGUACACACAUGCAUGCAUAUGCACGCACAUACACACAUGCACACACCCUGUGUUUUGGGGGGUGGUGAGUGCAGCGGGAUUCCCUCUAGGUCGCCCCUCAGACAAUGGGCCUGACUGUCAAGGUCCACAAGGGGCAUGAAGAGUUGGACACAAUAGAAUGACUGGACCAUAAUAACCCCUAUAGACAGCAUGGAGUUAGAAAGAGACCUCUUGGAACCAUUUUCUCCUAGCCCCCUGAGAGACUCCUAGAAGCUGCUGGCUGGCCCAGUGAGCCACCCUACCUGAGGCAGUGGGGUUCGAGGGAGAGACCUGAAGCAGCAGGUACCAAGCAGGUCCACCCCCACCCCGACCAGGACUCUCAUCUGCCCUGAGACCCUGACAGAGACAGCGCAGGGCCCUGAGCCUUGGGCAGAGUCAGGCUGCCAGCCCAGGGCCCUCAGCAUCCUCCCAGGAAGUGCCCCCACGGCUCCUGCAGGGGCUGCAGCCACACCUGCGGAAGACCCAGGAAGGCUAGUUCUGGCCACCAGAGUCCUUGGCCGGGGUGUCAAAUGGCUCAUCAUCAGACACUGAUAGGAUUUCAUCGGCUGACUGCAACCUCUCCAUGUGGCUCAUAGCUGAAACCUAUGAUCUGCAUGGUGUCCGCCAUUAGGAGUGAGCUUCUGGAAAACAAGGAGGGUGGGACUUGUCUGCUUGUACCCUGGUGCUUUGCAUACAGUGAGUGCGUGAUAAAUUCUUUUUUUUCAUUCUUUCAAAGGAAGGGGCUGUGGGA